rnacentral:rRNA from 1 species
GCGAACGGCUGAGUAACACGUGGGCAACCUGCCCCCUCCACCGGGACAGCCUCGGGAAACCGUGGGUAAUACCGGAUACUCCGGGACGGCCGCAUGGCCGGCCCGGGGAAAGCCCAGACGGGAGGGGAUGGGCCCGCGGCCUGUUAGCUAGUCGGCGGGGUAACGGCCCACCGAGGCGAUUAUGGGUAGCCGGGUUGAGAGACCGACCGGCCAGAUUGGGACUGAGACACGGCCCAGACUCCUACGGGAGGCAGCAGUGGGGAAUCUUGCGCAAUGGGCGGAAGCCUGACGCAGCGACGCCGCGUGCGGGACGAAGGCCUUCGGGUCGUAAACCGCUUUCAGCAGGGACGAGGCCCUCACGGUGACGGUACCUGCAGAAGAAGCCCCGGCUAACUACGUGCCAGCAGCCGCGGUAAUACGUAGGGGGCGAGCGUUAUCCGGAUUCAUUGGGCGUAAAGCGCGCGUAGGCGGCCUGUUAGGUCGGGGGUCAAAUACCGGGGCUCAACCCCGGUCCGCCCCCGAUACCGGCAGGCUUGAGUCUGGUAGGGGAAGGCGGAAUUCCCAGUGUAGCGGUGGAAUGCGCAGAUAUUGGGAAGAACGCCGGCGGCGAAGGCGGCCUUCUGGGCCACGACUGACGCUGAGGCGCGAAAGCUAGGGGAGCGAACAGGAUUAGAUACCCUGGUAGUCCUAGCCGUAAACGAUGGACGCUA